GCCAACAGAGAGCAUAUGAGCAUAGAACAAGGAAGCAUGAAAGCAUGAUCAAGCUAUAUUCAAAAGGGAUAUAAACAUGAGUAUAAGAUUGGUGAACUUCGAGCUACCACUCGAAAGGGCUUUGUUUAAAGUCAAAAGUAGAACAUACCUGAAGGUACUUACCAUGGCGUUGGAUGAUGAAGAAUUAUGAAUCACCACCGUGGUAAAUCCUCCCUUUUUGAUUUUAGUUUUAGUUGGGCAAGAUGCAAGAACCAACACCAUCUCCAAACCAAGACAAGAUUUGGCACGAAAGGAACUUACUCGGGAUACUCACAUAACUCCCCCACACUUGGAGUUUGCAUUGGUAGGCAACGCAACUCAAGUGUAUGGAGUUCAAGCUUCCUUUCGUAAUUGUUCCC
rnacentral:lncRNA from 1 species